UUCGCAAGGCUAUAUUAUCCGCAUUUUACAACAUUUCGCAACGAAACUUUGGAAUAUUACUAAUUUUGUGACGCUCUUUCAAGCUGUGAUGAAAUAUUUGUCUAGACUUGCCUAGAUCAAAAUUUUGGUUAUAAGGGGAAAGGUCUAUUGGUGGAGUGAAUUUUAUUAUUUAUUUAAAAAAUUCAUGGUUUCUGAUUGACUAACAGCCAACGUGAAAUGUUCCAUAUGUACGCAAUAGCCGAUGAAAUAUGGAGUUUUUACAUAAUAUAUUCAAUGGAGUGACACCAGAACGUUGCAUAUGAAAAAAUGAUAUUCAACGGAGUGACGCAAUAACGCUGAAUAUGAAAAAUCAUAUUGAACGUUAUGACGUCAUGCAUACUAAAUGUGGAAACACGACCAAAACAAUCUGGCGCCGCUGCAAAUUGCAUUUUCAGGGAGUGUUCAAUAUUUAUGUUGGUUUUUUUUUGGGGGGGAGGCAUAUCUGUAUGACCCCCUUCCGGCAACAGCAAAACUCGCCUGACCCCCCCCCCCCCUCUCAAGAAAAGACCAAAAACGUUAGUGAACCCCACCCCCAUUUUAUAUAAAAUACCGUACAAGUGUAGAAACAUUGUAUGUACGAUUAAAAAGUCUUUAUUUUAUGACGUUAGCAAUAGUGCAAAAGCUCCUGUAAACUCGCAGCCAUUUAAUAAUUCAAAAUUUUGAUGUUCUAUAAUAACAUAUUUUAAAGAGGUCAAAACAUUGCUAGAACUAAAACUUACAUGACCCCCCUCAACCUCUAGUGACCCCAAAAACAAACAACAACCCCUCCCUAUGAUUUCACCACCUCUCCCAAACCAUAAAUAACGAACACUCCGUUGAAGAAUACAACUUCAAAAAUAUAAUCAAGAAAUAUAAACGAAAACAGCCACGAAAAAUUUUGAAGCAUCUAUCUUAAAGAGUCAUUGUCGACCACAAUGCAUUGUGCGCCCAAACCUACUUGGCGGCCGUUUUAAUGGCGGAAUAAUAGAUGUUUCGGUUUUCAAUCCAUAAUAUAGUACUACCAUCCUGUGGUUAUACUUGCUCAUUUUAAAUUUUUUAUACUAGCUAAAAUUGCACCAAAGAAAUGUUUAUAAUCGUCAUUUGUUGCUAUUUGUCACGAAAGCAAGAUGUAAACAGAUACGUUGUCGUUGUUGUGGUUGACAAUGACGCUUUAAAGAAUAAAGUACUUAUGACAGAAAAAAGGAAAGAUUUGGGAAAAGACCUUGUCAUUAUUUCGACGAGUUCAACCCACAGACGCGCAUGUUUUUUUCAUCUUUUAAAUAAAUAAUAAAACAAUUAUUGAAUUCGGUUUUCGCCAGAUACAAAGAAUUGUCAAGCCCUCAAAUUUUGUUUUCAAUAUCAGCCAUCAACUUCGGGUGAUAACACAAACUUCAGGCUUAAUAAGUACUAGAUGUUGAAUGUUUUAUCAUGCUUAUAAAACGACCAAUCUUAUGAGCUCAUUGGCGAAGUAAUUUUAAAAAUAAACAUUGUCUAAGCCGAGAAAAUCAAAGCUGAAGUUUAUGUAAACAUUGAUUAAACAUUCAUUUCUUUUGUAUUUUCCUCAUGAAUUAUUAAUGAGUUUUAUAAGUACUAGAUAAAACAUGAGCAGCCGAUCUGUAUCUGAUAUACUAUGGAGUAUACUUAUACUUUAUACUUUAUACUUUAUUUAGAAAUGGUAAAUACAUUGC